rnacentral:rRNA from 1 species
UACGUAGGGGGCGAGCGUUAUCCGGAUUUACUGGGCGUAAAGCGCGUUAAGGCGGUUGGCAAAGUUGGUUGUGAAAUCUCAGGGCUCAACCCUGAAAUUGCGACCAAUACUGGUCGACUAGAGUGCAAGAGAGGAAGGUGGAAUUCCCGGUGUAGUAGUGAAAUGCGUAGAUAUCGGGAGGAACACCAGUGGCGAAGGCGGCCUUCUGGCUUGUAACUGACGCUGUAGCGCGAAAGCGUGGGGAGCAAACAGG